rnacentral:rRNA from 1 species
UACGAAGGGGGCUAGCGUUGCUCGGAAUCGACUGGGCGUAAAGCGCACGUAGGCGGCUUUUAAGUCAGAGGUGAAAUCCUGGAGCUCAACUCCAGAACUGCCUUUGAUACUGAGAAGCUUGAAGUCCGGGAGAUGGUGAGUGGAACUGCGAGUGUAGAGGUGAAAUUCGUAGAUAUUCGCAAGAACACCAGUGGCGAAGGCGGCUCACUGGCCCGGUACUGACGCUGAGGUGCGAAAGCGUGGGGAGCAAACAGG